rfam:Verrucomicrobiaceae bacterium SCGC AG-212-N21 AG-212-N21.1, whole genome shotgun sequence.
CCCACGGUUGAAACCGUGGGCUAUUUUCUUCCGUCCCUGCCGGGACU